rnacentral:rRNA from 1 species
AAAACUCUAAGCGGUGGAUCACUCGGCUCAUGGGUCGAUGAAGAACGCAGCAAACUGUGCGUCAUCGUGUGAACUGCAGGACACAUGAACAUCGACAUUUUGAACGCAUAUCGCAGUCCAUGCUGUUAUGUACUUUAAUUAAUUUUAUAGUGCUGCUUGGACUACAUAUGGUUGAGGGUUGUAAGACUAUGCUAAUUAAGUUGCUUAUAAAUUUUUAUAAGCAUAUGGUAUAUUAUUGGAUAAAUAUAAUAAUUUUUAUUCAUAAUAUUAAAAAAUAAAUGAAAAACAUUAUCUCACAUUUGAAUGUGAAAAACGAAGAGAAAUAUUUUCUUUUUCAAUCAAAUAAUACUGAGAAAUGUCUAGCAUAAAAAAUUGAAAUAUUUUUCAUCUAGAAUUGUCUCUUAUUAAUGAUUCGGAAAUAGAAAAAUCUUGGUUAUGUUAUUAUUCUUCGUUGGUUCGUUAAAAAUGGAUAAAUAAAAACUUUGCAUACAAGAAUUAAUAAAAAUGUUAUAACGAAUUUAAUUAAAUGUUUUAUCAUUAUAUAUAAAGAAUUUAUGGCAAGAUAAAGUUAUAUACAACCUCAACUCAUAUGGGACUACCCCCUGAAUUUAAGCAUAUUAAUUAGGGGAGGAAAAGAAACUAACAAGGAUUUUCUUAGUAGCGGCGAGCGAAAAGAAAACAGUUCAGCACUAAGUCACUUUGUCUAUAUGGCAAAUGUGAGAUGCAGUGUAUGGAGCGUCAAUAUUCUAGUAUGAGAAAUUAACGAUUUAAGUCCUUCUUAAAUGAGGCCAUUUACCCAUAGAGGGUGCCAGGCCCGUAUAACGUUAAUGAUUACUAGAUGAUGUUUCCAAAGAGUCGUGUUGCUUGAUAGUGCAGCACUAAGUGGGUGGUAAACUCCAUCUAAAACUAAAUAUAACCAUGAGACCGAUAGUAAACAAGUACCGUGAGGGAAAGUUGAAAAGAACUCUGAAUAGAGAGUUAAACAGUACGUGAAACUGCUUAGAGGUUAAGCCCGAUGAACCUGAAUAUCCGUUAUGGAAAAUUCAUCAUUAAAAUUGUAAUAUUUAAAUAAUAUUAUGAGAAUAGUGUGCAUUUUUUCCAUAUAAGGACAUUGUAAUCUAUUAGCAUAUACCAAAUUUAUCAUAAAAUAUAACUUAUAGUUUAUUCCAAUUAAAUUGCUUGCAUUUUAACACAGAAUAAAUGUUAUUAAUUUGAUAAAGUGCUGAUAGAUUUAUAUGAUUACAGUGCGUUAAUUUUUCGGAAUUAUAUAAUGGCAUAAUUAUCAUUGAUUUUUGUGUUUAUUAUAUGCACUUGUAUGAUUAACAAUGCGAAAGAUUCAGGAUACCUUCGGGACCCGUCUUGAAACACGGACCAAGGAGUCUAACAUAUGUGCAAGUUAUUGGGAUAUAAACCUAAUAGCGUAAUUAACUUGACUAAUAAUGGGAUUAGUUUUUUAGCUAUUUAUAGCUAAUUAACACAAUCCCGGGGCGUUCUAUAUAGUUAUGUAUAAUGUAUAUUUAUAUUAUUUAUGCCUCUAACUGGAACGUACCUUGAGCAUAUAUGCUGUGACCCGAAAGAUGGUGAACUAUACUUGAUCAGGUUGAAGUCAGGGGAAACCCUGAUGGAAGACCGAAACAGUUCUGACGUGCAAAUCGAUUGUCAGAAUUGAGUAUAGGGGCGAAAGACCAAUCGAACCAUCUAGUAGCUGGUUCCUUCCGAAGUUUCCCUCAGGAUAGCUGGUGCAUUUUAAUAUUAUAUAAAAUAAUCUUAUCUGGUAAAGCGAAUGAUUAGAGGCCUUAGGGUCGAAACGAUCUUAACCUAUUCUCAAACUUUAAAUGGGUAAGAACCUUAACUUUCUUGAUAUGAAGUUCAAGGUUAUGAUAUAAUGUGCCCAGUGGGCCACUUUUGGUAAGCAGAACUGGCGCUGUGGGAUGAACCAAACGUAAUGUUACGGUGCCCAAAUUAACAACUCAUGCAGAUACCAUGAAAGGCGUUGGUUGCUUAAAACAGCAGGACGGUGAUCAUGGAAGUCGAAAUCCGCUAAGGAGUGUGUAACAACUCACCUGCCGAAGCAACUAGCCCUUAAAAUGGAUGGCGCUUAAGUUGUAUACCUAUACAUUACCGCUAAAGUAGAUGAUUUAUAUUACUUGUGAUAUAAAUUUUGAAACUUUAGUGAGUAGGAAGGUACAAUGGUAUGCGUAGAAGUGUUUGGCGUAAGCCUGCAUGGAGCUGCCAUUGGUACAGAUCUUGGUGGUAGUAGCAAAUAAUCGAAUGAGACCUUGGAGGACUGAAGUGGAGAAGGGUUUCGUGUGAACAGUGGUUGAUCACGAGUUAGUCGGUCCUAAGUUCAAGGCGAAAGCCGAAAAUUUUCAAGUAAAACAAAAAUGCCUAACUAUAUAAACAAAGCGAAUUAUAAUACACUUGAAUAAUUUUGAACGAAAGGGAAUACGGUUCCAAUUCCGUAACCUGUUGAGUAUCCGUUUGUUAUUAAAUAUGGGCCUCGUGCUCAUCCUGGCAACAGGAACGACCAUAAAGAAGCCGUCGAGAGAUAUCGGAAGAGUUUUCUUUUCUGUUUUAUAGCCGUACUACCAUGGAAGUCUUUCGCAGAGAGAUAUGGUAGAUGGGCUAGAAGAGCAUGACAUAUACUGUUGUGUCGAUAUUUUCUCCUCGGACCUUGAAAAUUUAUGGUGGGGACACGCAAACUUCUCAACAGGCCGUACCAAUAUCCGCAGCUGGUCUCCAAGGUGAAGAGUCUCUAGUCGAUAGAAUAAUGUAGGUAAGGGAAGUCGGCAAAUUAGAUCCGUAACUUCGGGAUAAGGAUUGGCUCUGAAGAUUGAGAUAGUCGGGCUUGAUUGGGAAACAAUAACAUGGUUUAUGUGCUCGUUCUGGGUAAAUAGAGUUUCUAGCAUUUAUGUUAGUUACUUGUUCCCCGGAUAGUUUAGUUACGUAGCCAAUUGUGGAACUUUCUUGCUAAAAUUUUUAAGAAUACUAUUUGGGUUAAACCAAUUAGUUCUUAUUAAUUAUAACGAUUAUCAAUUAACAAUCAAUUCAGAACUGGCACGGACUUGGGGAAUCCGACUGUCUAAUUAAAACAAAGCAUUGUGAUGGCCCUAGCGGGUGUUGACACAAUGUGAUUUCUGCCCAGUGCUCUGAAUGUCAAAGUGAAGAAAUUCAAGUAAGCGCGGGUCAACGGCGGGAGUAACUAUGACUCUCUUAACAUGCAUCUAUAUACGACACCUUACGUGCUUAUGGUGCGCCAAAGGGCUUCGUUGACUACGUACAGAACACGUACGAGGGCGGUGGUACCAGUCUCAAUGGGGACGGUUGGAGUUCAGAGGAAUUCGUCCCUGCUAGAGGAGUGAAGCAGGGUGACCCUUUGUCUCCUAUUCUAUUUAACUUGGUAAUGGACAGGUUACUUAGAACCUUACCCAGCGAAAUUGGUGCCAAAGUCGGAAAUGCCAUUACUAACGCGGCCGCGUUUGCAGAUGAUUUGGUACUAUUUGCGGAAACUCGGAUGGGGCUUCAAGUAUUGUUGGACAAGACGUUGGAUUUUCUAUCUAUCGUCGGCCUCAAACUUAAUGCCGACAAAUGUUUUACCGUCGGCAUUAAGGGCCAGCCGAAACAGAAGUGUACCGUGUUAGAGGCACAGAGCUUCUACGUAGGCUCGAGUGAGAUUCCAUCACUGAAGCGCACGGACGAGUGGAAGUACUUAGGCAUCAACUUCACUGCAACCGGGAGGGUUCGAUGCAAUCCGGCCGAGGACAUUGGUCCAAAGCUACAAAGAUUGACAAAGGCCCCCCUCAAACCACAACAGAGGUUGUUCGCCCUUCGGACUGUCCUUAUCCCACAGCUCUACCACAAGUUAGCCCUUGGGAGUGUGGCGAUAGGCGUCCUAAGAAAAACUGAUAAACUUAUAAGAUAUUAUGUGCGAAGAUGGCUAAAUCUUCCGCUGGAUGU